rnacentral:rRNA from 1 species
AUUGAACGCUGGCGGCAUGCCUUACACAUGCAAGUCGAACGGUAACAGGUCUUCGGAUGCUGACGAGUGGCGAACGGGUGAGUAAUACAUCGGAACGUGCCCGAUCGUGGGGGAUAACGCAGCGAAAGCUGUGCUAAUACCGCAUACGAUCUACGGAUGAAAGCGGGGGAUCGCAAGACCUCGCGCGGACGGAGCGGCCGAUGGCAGAUUAGGUAGUUGGUGGGAUAAAAGCUUACCAAGCCGACGAUCUGUAGCUGGUCUGAGAGGACGACCAGCCACACUGGGACUGAGACACGGCCCAGACUCCUACGGGAGGCAGCAGUGGGGAAUUUUGGACAAUGGGCGAAAGCCUGAUCCAGCAAUGCCGCGUGCAGGAUGAAGGCCUUCGGGUUGUAAACUGCUUUUGUACGGAACGAAAAGACUCUGGUUAAUACCUGGGGUUCAUGACGGUACCGUAAGAAUAAGCACCGGCUAACUACGUG